AUUAUCUUUGUCUAUGUACACUUCAACUUUGACAAGUUGAAUGGUAGUUUGGAUAAAGUUUCUUGUUGUCCAACUAAUGCUACCAUAUAACAUUAGAAUUUAUCCAAUUAAACCUUUUAAAACCAAAAUACUACUUGUUCAAACCUCCAUGCUUUUACAUUUAAAAUGCAUCAGCCAAGCCUAAUACAGUUGCAACCAUAAUUUAACAGGGUAUAUAUCCAGUU
rnacentral:lncRNA from 1 species